AUACGAAGGGGGCUAGCGUUGUUCGGAAUUACUGGGCGUAAAGCGCGCGUAGGCGGAUUGGUCAGUUAGGGGUGAAAUCCCAGGGCUUAACCCUGGAACUGCCUCUAAUACUGCCAGUCUUGAGUUCGGGAGAGGUGAGUGGAAUUCCUAGUGUAGAGGUGAAAUUCGUAGAUAUUAGGAAGAACACCAGUGGCGAAGGCGGCUCACUGGCCCGAUACUGACGCUGAGGCGCGAAAGCGUGGGGAGUAAACAGGAUUAGAAACCCCAGUAGUCC
rnacentral:rRNA from 1 species